ensembl:lncRNA
ACUGCAAAGGGCUAACAGUUCAAGAUCACUGCCACCACUUUCCCAAGAAUAUCUCCGGAGAGAUUGCUCAGGAGACUUGAAGAGGAAUGUAAUAGAAUAAUUAUGCAUGAAGCAUUGAUAAAUGCUCACCAUCUUUAGAGUAGUACAGGUUGUGCUAGAUCUUCAGCUAGACAGAGAACUGAGACUCGAAGAGAGAGAGAACAAGACGAGAGGGAGCGGAGGGAAGAAGGGGAGAAACGGAAAUGGAUGCUCCUGUGUGAAACCAGAAAGGAAAUGACUGGAGAAGAGGUAGCUGCUUGACACAAGUACCAAAAACAAAAACAAAAAA